GCCUAAAGGAUCAAUGUUUUAUGAGCGGAAACCCUACGCAAGUGACAAAACUAAAAUGCGGAAAAUGCCAUGUCCGGCCCGCUUAUGAGUCGACCCACCGUGCGACGCCAACAGAGCAUUGAUACAGUCCACCUUGCACGCGCCAAUCGGCCAAUCAGCAGUUGAGAUCGUGUGCGAUACCGAAAGCUACCCCUCUCCACACUCGCUCGGUCAGUUUCUCGCCGGCCGCCACUGUAAUCGGUUCGCAAUCCUUCCGCGCAUGGAAUCUGUCGGAAGCAUUCAUGGCUUCAAUCUUAGAAUUUCGGGACAAUCCGCCGCUAAUAUUUCCGUGUCGUGUUAAGUACCUCGUGUUUUAUGUUUUGCGAAAACUUCUGGAUGCGUGAAAACGAUCGUGCGUUGUGGUUGAUCUCUCAAAUCGGAUGUUCAACGCCGGUGAGCAUUCUCCAUCUUGCCGAAAUAGAAACUCCGUUUGUUUCAACUUGUGUGCCCUGUGUUUGGGCGAAUCGAAUGAUACAUCCCAAAAUUUCAUCCGGUUUUCGUCGUUCUAUCACUGCCGGGUUCGCGUGUGAGUUAUUUCGAUGAUUUUCCGCGGAGUUCGGUGCGUUCUUGCAUGUGUUCACCUGUUGCGUUGUUCGGAGUGGAAAUCGUUUGAAAGCGCGAGGUUGCAAUGGCGACCACCAUCCCAAGUUUCGUGUUUUCUCGCUUCCCUUCGUUUCAUGCAAGUGCUUUCAGUUUGUUAUCCGUUCGGAAAGGAGAGACGAUCCUCAUUCUCUCUGGACGUAGGAAUAUUUCCUUGGUUUCGUGCCCUUGGUUUCCGCGAGUAGUUCGAUCGAGUGUCGCCAUUAUCGAAAAGGAAAGUUUGGAUAUGUGUUCUCCUCGUCCCAACCGUUUUGAUGCUGGCAUAUUCGUGGCUUUGGUCCUGGAGUCAGGUUUGAUUUUGAAAGUCCUUUCAUUCCCUGUCCAAGUGUAACCUUUCGUGGCUAAUCUUUUAGUGCACAGUGCGGUCUCAGUGGUGGCGUUGUGAAUGCUUUCAGCUUGGCGUCGGGCAAUUGGAUAACACUUACUUGGUACGUAACUCACAGUUUUUUCAUUCUUGUGUUUCAAUUUUAUCCAUUGAGCGCAUGC
rnacentral:lncRNA from 1 species